rnacentral:sRNA from 1 species
AGCUCUGUAAGUAAACACUCUGCGCGGCGCAGACAUGGCCUCUUCCUAUCUUUGAGGCGGUGUCUGCGGCAGCGCCUCAGAGUGGUUCAGGUCGUCUCUCCUCAAGUCGGCUAGUCGGGCGCGCGGGCUGAGAGUCGUCGCCGCCUGUCGGGCCCGGCGUCCGGCGCCAAGAUGUGGAUACAGGUUCGCACCAUUGAUGGCUCCAAGACGUGCACCAUUGAGGACGUGUCUCGCAAAGCCACGAUUGAGGAGCUGCGCGAGCGGGUGUGGGCGCUGUUCGACGUGCGGCCCGAAUGCCAGCGCCUCUUCUACCGGGGCAAGCAGUUGGAAAAUGGAUAUACCUUAUUUGAUUAUGAUGUUGGACUGAAUGAUAUAAUUCAGCUGCUAGUUCGCCCAGACCCUGAUCAUCUUCCUGGCACAUCUACACAGAUUGAGGCUAAACCCUGUUCUAAUAGUCCACCUAAAGUAAAGAAAGCUCCGAGGGUAGGACCUUCCAAUCAGCCAUCUACAUCAGCUCGUGCCCGUCUUAUUGAUCCUGGCUUUGGAAUAUAUAAGGUAAAUGAAUUGGUGGAUGCCAGAGAUGUCGGCCUUGGUGCUUGGUUUGAAGCACACAUACAUAGUGUUACUAGAGCUUCUGAUGGACAGUCACGUGGCAAAACUCCACUGAAGAAUGGCAGUUCUUAUAAAAGGACUAAUGGAAAUAUAAAGCAUAAAUCCAAAGAGAACACAAAUAAAUUGGACAGUGUACCCUCUACGUCUAAUUCAGACUGUGUUGCUGCUGAUGAAGACGUUAUUUACCAUAUCCAGUAUGAUGAGUAAGUGCUCAAGCUAUUGAGGACUUUAUUCAUAUUUUCAUUUGUAGAAACCAAAGCCUUCUAUUUCAAGAUUAUUUUAAAUAGUCUUUCUGAAGAAAUCCUUUAGAGGUUAUGUUCAUUUGUUACUUUUUGGUUUUGGUGGUUGUACUCUAAUUUAAAGGUCCUUUUAGCUCUC